UACGGAGGGUGCAAGCGUUAAUCGGAAUUACUGGGCGUAAAGCGCACGUAGGCGGUUUGUUAAGUCAGAUGUGAAAUCCCCGAGCUUAACUUGGGAACUGCAUUUGAAACUGGCAAGCUAGAGUCUUGUAGAGGGGGGUAGAAUUCCAGGUGUAGCGGUGAAAUGCGUAGAGAUCUGGAGGAAUACCGGUGGCGAAGGCGGCCCCCUGGACAAAGACUGACGCUCAGGUGCGAAAGCGUGGGGAGCAAACAGG
rnacentral:rRNA from 1 species